rnacentral:snoRNA from 1 species
UCUCCUUUUCUUGGCGGGGGCCGGGUGUGUAGUCCCACUCCCCGUUAUGUACGGAGGCAGAGGGAAAGGGCUCCGGCUCCCUCGGCGUCAUGUCUUCGGUGGUGCCGGCGGCUUCUUGUCCACCGGUUCUAUCCUCAAGCACCGAGACACCC